GCCGCUGUAGCUCAGGGGUAGAGCAGGUCAUUCGUAAUGACAAGGUCGGGAGUUCAAUUCUCUUCAGCGGCACCA
rnacentral:tRNA from 1 species